CGUUCCCCGUUUCCGUUCUAGAGGCCCACGGACACCGCCCUUUCACGGCGGUAACAGGGGUUCGAAUCCCCUAGGGGACGGCCA
rnacentral:tRNA from 1 species